CCUACGGGUGGCAGCAGUGAGGAAUAUUGGUCAAUGGGCGGAAGCCUGAACCAGCCAAGUCGCGUGAGGGAUUAAGGCCCUGUGGGUUGUAAACUUCUUUUGCCGGGGAGUAGUGGUCCGGACGCGUCCGGACCGGGAGAGUACACGGAGAAAAAGCAUCGGCUAACGCCGUGCCAGCAGCCGGGGUAAUAAGGAGGUUGCGAGCGUAAUCGGGAUUUAUGGGGGUGAAAGGGUGCGUAGGCGGGCAUUUAGGCCGGCGGUAAAGUGUCGGGGCUCAACCCCGGCCUGCCGUCGAAACUGGGUGCCUUGAGUGGGCGAGAGGUAGGCGGAAUGCGUGGUGUAGCGGUGAAAUGCAUAGAUAUCACGCAGAACCCCGAUUGCGAAGGCAGCAUACCGGCGCCCUACUGACGCUGAGGCACGAAAGUGCGGGUAUCAAACAGGAUUAGAUACCCGAGUAGUC
rnacentral:rRNA from 1 species